rnacentral:rRNA from 1 species
UUAUUGGAGAGUUUGAUCCUGGCUCAGGACGAACGCUGGCGGCGUGCCUAAUACAUGCAAGUCGAGCGGAGUUGAUGGGGUGCUUGCACUCCUGAUGCUUAGCGGCGGACGGGUGAGUAACACGUAGGCAACCUGCCCUCAAGACUGGGAUAACUACCGGAAACGGUAGCUAAUACCGGAUAAUUAAAUCUGCUGCAUGGCAGAGUUAUGAAAGGCGGAGCAAUCUGUCACUUGAGGAUGGGCCUGCGGCGCAUUAGCUAGUUGGUGAGGUAACGGCUCACCAAGGCGACGAUGCGUAGC